UUAAUCAUAGUAAAUUUUAUAUUUCACUUACAAUGAAAAGGUGCCAAUGGCUGAUUAAU
rnacentral:tRNA from 1 species